CGUUGUUUUCGGCGGACAUUUUUCUUAGCAGAAUGUGCGGCAACCAAGGGAACCGUGCCAUGGACGGCACGGUUCGUCUGCUGCGGCAGGAUGCCGCUUUGCAGACAUCCCGGACGGUUCCCGCAACCUUCCCAUUCUGCUUAGGAAAAUGCCCGCCGAAAACCCCG
rfam:Lachnospiraceae bacterium 28-4 genomic scaffold acPFn-supercont1.3, whole genome shotgun sequence.